GUAAGUCAAGAUAAAUCAAAGAGCCAACUGAAAAAACUGAAGGUAAAGGAACCUUAAAGACUGAAGUGAGACCAUACAGUCAGAGUGAAACCGACUAGAAAAUGCCCAAUAAAUGAAAGAGGAUACUCCUCCACUUCCUGCCCCAAGUGGAGGAGUUUAAGUAUCCAGGGUCUUGAUCACAAGUGACGGGAGCAGGAGAUCGAUAGAUGGAUUGUUGCUGUGAUUACAGUGAGGUGGACACUGUACUGGUCUGUCAUGGUGUAGAGAGAGCUGAGUGUAAAAGCAAAGCUCUCGAUUUACAGUCACUCUAUGUCCCUACCCUCACUUAUGGUUAUGAGCUGUGGUGACCAAAAGAAUGAGGCCUCACCCUUAGAGAUAGGGUGAGCAGUUCAGGCAUCCGGGAGGGUGUAGAAGUAGAGCCGCUGCUCCGUCACAUCGAAAGGAGCCAGUUGAGGUGGUUUGGGGAUCUGGAUGCUUCCUGGGCGCGGUUUUCUGGGAGAUUAUAUCUCUCGGCUGGCUUGGGAACGACUUGGUGUCCCACCGGACAAGCUGGAGGAGGUGGGCGGGGAGUGGGAGGUCUGGGCUUUUCUGCUUAGGUUGCAGCCCCCCUGACCGGCCCCGGAUAAGCAGAAGAAGGUCGAUAGAUGGAUCAUGGAUAACCAAAACAAAGACCCAAAAAAACAUACAAUCCUCAAAACACAAGUCUCCCCAUUAUUAUUACAAAGAAAAGAAAAGAAAAAGCUUAGACAGAAACCUAAAGUCAGAUGCUUUCAAGAAAUCCAGGGACCAUCCCACUGGUAUAUCCCAUGAUAUUGUUGCUCAAAACUCAUUAUAGAAACAACGCUUAACAAAACUUGGAGGGAGAAGCUGAUCUGGUAGCAGCUUUGAACAGAGUUUAAAUGAGAAUUUCUACCCUGAAAAUUGUAUAUGUACAUGGUAUUACUAGGAAAACAAACUGCAUAUGACAGCCCAUGUUCUGGAAAUUUAUUGCCUUGUUACUGAGUAAAACAUCAGCUUUUUCUGAAGGGUCAGGUGGGAAUUUAUUUUCAGACAUGAUGAAAUAAAUCAAUUUCCUGUUGCUGUAAGACCCGAGGUGUCGUUCUCAGCUGAUAUUUUGACAUGUUUUUGAAGGAUUUCAAAAUAUAUACUCUUUUGCAAAAGUGAUUUCCUCUUUAUUUUCUCAGAUUACGGAAACAAAUUGUUUCACUCACACGGUUAAUCACAGGAUUAAAAACAACAAAUUUAAAAAACAAAACAACACACAAAAAAGUGACACAAUGCCAACAAUAGUUUUCAAGACAAGUUUCCUGAUCAGACUUUGUUUGAUGCUUGAAAAGAUUCAGUCAUCCUAAAGUUUCAGUGAGCUCACUCAGUAGAAGAAAGACAGUACUGGAAUAUAAUGAGUUCAAUUUUUUUAGUUAAAUUUAUUGAAAAAUAAUACAUACAGACAAAUAAAACAAUAGAAGCUUUAGGUACGAAUAGAAAAAGAUGUGUUAAAAGAAAACAAAGAUUUGACAAAGAUUUUAUGCUGGGUGCCUUUCCUUUGGUAAAUGGUAAAUGGACUUGUUCUUAUACAGCGCUUUUCUACUCUUCUGAGCGCUUCAAAGCGCUUUAUACAACUUGUGUAUUCACCCAUUCACACCCAUUCGCACAAGCACAUGUUUCUAAGUGCUUUCUAACUAACAUUUACACACAUUCAUACUCCGAUGGAUGCAUCGGAGAGCAAUUUGGUGUUAGUAUCUUGUCCAAGGAUGGCAUGCAGACUAGACCAACCUUCCGAUCAGUAGAUGACCUGCUCUACCGCCUGAGCUACAGCCACACUCCUCAGUUGAGGCGGGUGGAAAUGUCAGAGUGUGCUGAUGUUACAGUGGUUAGAACUGCCACCUCAAAGUGGCUGCGAUUCUCAGGAUAGCAGUUAACUGAGGCGUUGUCACUGUCACCUAGCAACCCGUGAAGAAAUAGUUGGCGUUCCUUAGACGUAUGUUCAAAGAUGUCUUUAGCAUCUUUUCAAUGAGUUUUGCCUGAGCUCCUUUCCUGCUUUUUUUCAAAAGAGGUAAUUGAAUUGAAUUGAUUGAUUGAUAAUACUAUUCAUCCAGAGGGAAAUUGGGUUAAGGCUGCCAGCCGUGCCAGCGUCAUCUUACCGUUCCAACCAUACAUACAUUACACAAACAUCACAUGGGGAAGACUUCUCUCCAAGAUGUUAUCCAUAUUGAGUUCAAAACACAGUCUGAGUACUCACAGCCCUGCCCAUCAUCUAUAAUGUCGGCCAGCCUUGUGGGAUUUUGAACAGCUGUAGCCGUUUCUUGUACUUCGAUAAGCCAGGUCCGAGCCAGCUCCAAUCAGUCAGAUCGUGGUUCCGAAUUGGUAGAUGUCGUUCAAUGUCCUCCAUCGAGAGUGUCGCCAGACACACGACGCAACCGACCAUCGAGUAUGCGGCAGCAAACGUCUCCUCAGGACAAUCAAGCUCUCCCAAGCCCCGGAAGGUGUUAAUUCUAUUACUGGACCAGUUGAUCAAAUCCAUAAUUAUUUAGGUUUUAGAGAACAAAACUGAGAAACUCUUUGAGGGUUAGAGAAUAAGCGAGACAAUACAAAAGACACGAGAAGCCAAGCAGGAAAGAUAAGGGAGAGGGAGAAGGAGAAAAGUGUGACCACCUCCGUCAAGAGCAAGAGAAUCAUGAAUAAUGCUAUGAGAAUGGAGAAUAGAAUAGAAUAGAAUUGACCAUUAUUGUUACUGUACAUGUACAGCGUGUUUACUCACAGCCUAGGGGAGAAGCUGUUAGUGAGUCUGGAGGUGUUGAACGUCAUUGACCUGUGGCACCAACCAGAGUGCACAAGGGGUCACCUGUGAUGUCCCUGGUUUUCCUGAUAGAAUAGAAUUCGACUUUAUUGUCAUUGCACAUGCACAGGUACAGGGCAACGAAAUGCAGUUUGCAUCCAUCCAGAAGUGCUUUAGUGAUAUAGAUAUAUUAGGAGGAUAUAGGAGGAGCUGAUGAUGACCCCCAGGGGUGGCAGAGGGCAGCCAAUGAGUUUCUGGGCAAUAUUAAUUACCCUCUGGCCAGCCUUCCUGUUCUCAGUUGUGGCUCCUGUGUACCAAACACUCAGGUGGUAGGAGAGCAUGCUCUCUACUCAGGAGCGGGAACGGGCCAGCAGCAGCUUCUGUCCAGAUUGUUCUUCCUGAGGACAAGCAGAAAGUGUAGCCGCUGCCGGGCCUUCUUUAGCAGGGUAUUGCUGUUGUGGGUCCAAGUGAGAUAGGCAGAGAUGUGGGAGCCCAGAAACCUGAAGGUGGAGACAGUUGGCAGUUUAUGAUGUGCUGACAGGCUAUCCACUCCAUGAAACCUGUUUCAGUUCUAAAUUUUAGCAGCAGGACAUUUCAAAUCAGCUGUGGUUGCCUCAGUAGUCUGCUGCUUCUUUCUUUUAAACGUCCACAGAAGCACAGAACCACCUAUAGUAACAACAAGGACAACAGCAACAACAACAGCAGGAACAACCAUCAGGACAGUUGGAGUUUCUUUCUCUUGAACGAAAUGCAUGUUUCCACCUCCAUGUUCUCCUUCAGUGAUGGGCUGCUCAAACAUGCUGUUAAGUGUUUCACCUGCAGAGAAAACAUGAAUUGUUAGAGCAGAAAUGCUGAGACACCAAAAUAAGAAACCAACAAGAGUGUGUGUUCUGCAGGUGAAACUACUGACAACAGCUUCAGUUACUCAUCUGGAGCAAAUUAUAUUUUACAGCUG
ensembl:lncRNA